GGUAGUCCACGCCGUAAACGAUGGAUACUAGCUGUUGGAGGUAUCGACCCCUUCAGUAGCGAAGCUAACGCGUUAAGUAUCCCGCCUGUGGAGUACGGUCGCAAGACUAAAACAUAAAGGAAUUGACGGGGACCCGCACAAGCGGUGGAUUGUGUUCUUUAAUUCGAUGAUAAACGAUAAACCUUACCAGGGUUUGACAUCCCAAGAAUUUUGCCGAAAGGCGAGAGUGCUUUAUUGAACUUGGUGACAGCUGUUGCAUGGCCGUCGUCAGCUCGUGUCGUGAGAUGUUUGGUUAAG
rnacentral:rRNA from 1 species